UACAGAGGUCUCAAGCGUUUGUUCGGAUUCAUUGGGCGUAAAGGGUGCGUAGGUGGCGCUGUAAGUCGGGUGUGAAAUUUCGGAGCUUAACUCCGAAACUGCAUUCGAUACUGCGGUGCUUUGAGGACUGGAGAGGAGACUGGAAUUCAUGGUGUAGCAGUGAAAUGCGUAGAGAUCAUGAGGAAGACCAGUGGCGAAAGGCGGGUCUCUGGACAGUUCCUGACACUGAGGCACGAAGGCCAGGGGGAGCAAAACGGGG
rnacentral:rRNA from 1 species